GCCCUGCGAAGCAGAGAAGUCACAGUCAAAUCUCUCUCCUGGGACAUGCAUCAGCCAGAAGGCUUCGAAAACUACCAGAAAUGAAGAAACUCAAAGGCUGGAGCUCAGGAGGAAGCCGAGGUACUCAGAGGUCCGUGACCUGCCCAAGUUUGAGCAUGGGACGGCCGUGUGGGCUUCCAUGGUUUUGUUUUUGAGACACUUUCAUGGACUCCAGCCUGGGCUCAAGGGCUGUGUAGAAGAGGAGGGGCCUGAACUCUUGAUCCUCCUGUCUCCACUCCCCUGGUGCUGGAAUGAGAUCUGAUUGGUCUGCAGCAAAAGGCUUGGAACUAAUUAAACCCAAAGUCGGGCAAAUCUUGACUCCCAGCUGUGCCUCCUCCCUCCAGGCUGCAGCAGGCUUGAACUGGCUCUGAUUUCAAGGUGUUAGCUGCCUGGCUUAGCCCAGAGCAGAUGGUCAAGCUACAGUGUGCCUGUGAGGCUGAUCCCAGGAAGGAAUCACUUUCCACAUUCUAGAAGCUAAAGAUGGCUCAUGGAAGCCGAGACAUUAAUCUUGCAGCUUGGACCAGAGCGUAGACUUUGGAAAAGAGUCAAGUGGAAAAAUCCCAUUUCUUCGUGCUCUUUGGAAGAAUAAUGAGAACUUACAGCCUGCAACAAUCUCUUUUCAUUUGCAGCUAUUGAAUUACCUGCUGGCUCAGCUCAUCUUUCUAUUUAAAAUGAGCAAUAAAAUAUACCCUGGGCCGUU